rnacentral:rRNA from 1 species
GACGAACGCUGGCGGCGUGCUUAACACAUGCAAGUCGAACGGAAAGGCCCUGCUUUUGUGGGGUGCUCGAGUGGCGAACGGGUUAGUAACAAGUGAGUAACCUUCCCUUUACUUUGGGAUAACUUCAGGAAACUGGGGCUAAUACCGGAUAGGAGCUCCUGCUGCAUGGUGGGGGUUGGAAAGUUUCGGCGGUUGGGGAUGGACUCGCGGCUUAUCAGCUUGUUGGUGGGGUAGUGGCUUACCAAGGCUUUGACGGGUAGCCGGCCUGAGAGGGUGACCGGCCAGAUUGGGACUGAGAUACGGCCCAGACUCCGACGGGAGGCAGCAGUGGGGAAUAGUGCACAAUGGGCGGAAGCCUGAUGCAGCAACGCCGCGUGCGGGAUGACGGCCUUCGGGUUGUAAACCGCUUUCGCCUGUGACGAAGCGUGAGUGACGGUAAUGGGUAAAGAAGCACCGGCUAACUACGUG